AAUCAAUAUGACCUUUUUAAAAACAAUGGGCUUCCACUCAUGAUACAAGCCUUAACUGAAUCUCAGAAUGAGGAUCUAAACAAAGCUGCCACUUUUGUACUUCAUAACUGCAAAAAAAUUACCGAGAAAUUAUCUCUAAGUUUAGGAGAAUAUUCUUUUGAUGAUGAUGGAGCUGAACACUUAAAAGUAAUAAAAGUGAAAGAGAAGAAUCUUGAAGAAUACUGGAAGAAAGCAAAGGAAAUUCUACAGAGAAUAGAACAGCUUGAAAGAGAAGGAAAUGAGG